rnacentral:rRNA from 1 species
UACGGAGGGUGCAAGCGUUGUCCGGAUUUAUUGGGUUUAAAGGGUGCGUAGGCGGUUCUUUAAGUCAGUGGUGAAAGCCUCCAGCUUAACUGGAGAAAUGCCAUUGAUACUGAAGAACAUGAGUACAGACGAGGUAGGCGGAAUUGACAGUGUAGCGGUGAAAUGCAUAGAUAUUGUCAAGAACACCGAUUGCGAAGGCAGCUUACUAGACUGUAACUGACGCUGAGGCACGAAAGUGCGGGGAUCAAACAGG